rnacentral:tRNA from 1 species
GGUAAAGUGGCCGAAUAGGUAUUGAGUUGUAGCCUCAAUCAUGAAGGUCUAAUCCUUUUUUUACCA